rnacentral:rRNA from 1 species
GUGACCUGCGGNAGGAUCAUUA